GCAGACAAAGACCCACAGCCCAGCUCCCUAGCUGGCCAGGUGAGGCUUAUUAGCCCUGGGAGGUUUGUGAUUCCUCAGAUGGAAUAGGAUUGGUAUAGGUGAGGGUCACAUGCUUCUUCAAGCCCAGAUGCUGCAAUCAACAUGUAAAGUACAAAAGGGAGCUGAUGUGAGGUGUCUUCUCAACUGCCCAUGUUGACAAACCUCAGCUGGGAUGCUGCACGACCUUGGACACAGGGAUUGACCCUGCUGCCAGAAUCACCAAUGAAGACUUAUGAACUUCACCAGGAGACACAUUUACUGGCAAGAAAACUGAAAGGAAAAAAGAGUGUGCAGAUGUGCUUUAAAGGAUUAAGCAGUACCCAUCUUUUCUGAGUUUGAGCAAUAAUCUGCAAAGAGACUUCUGUACUGUAAUGACUUGGGAAGUGUUUUCACCAUCCAUCAUUUGCCUUCUAGAAUGUCCCACUGUUCUGCUCUCAGCAAGAAAUGACAUAAGUCAUACUGAAUUCAAGGGAGCUUAUUCCCAGGUAAGUGGGG